rnacentral:rRNA from 1 species
GAUGAACGCUGGCGGCGUGCCUAAUACAUGCAAGUCGAGCGAACGGACGAGAAGCUUGCUUCUCUGAUGUUAGCGGCGGACGGGUGAGUAACACGUGGAUAACCUACCUAUAAGACUGGGAUAACUUCGGGAAACCGGAGCUAAUACCGGAUAAUAUUUUGAACCGCAUGGUUCAAAAGUGAAAGACGGUCUUGCUGUCACUUAUAGAUGGAUCCGCGCUGCAUUAGCUAGUUGGUAAGGUAACGGCUUACCAAGGCAACGAUGCAUAGCCGACCUGAGAGGGUGAUCGGCCACACUGGAACUGAGACACGGUCCAGACUCCUACGGGAGGCAGCAGUAGGGAAUCUUCCGCAAUGGGCGAAAGCCUGACGGAGCAACGCCGCGUGAGUGAUGAAGGUCUUCGGAUCGUAAAACUCUGUUAUUAGGGAAGAACAUAUGUGUAAGUAACUGUGCACAUCUUGACGGUACCUAAUCAGAAAGCCACGGCUAACUACGUGCCAGCAGCCGCGGUAAUACGUAGGUGGCAAGCGUUAUCCGGAAUUAUUGGGCGUAAAGCGCGCGUAGGCGGUUUUUUAAGUCUGAUGUGAAAGCCCACGGCUCAACCGUGGAGGGUCAUUGGAAACUGGAAAACUUGAGUGCAGAAGAGGAAAGUGGAAUUCCAUGUGUAGCGGUGAAAUGCGCAGAGAUAUGGAGGAACACCAGUGGCGAAGGCGACUUUCUGGUCUGUAACUGACGCUGAUGUGCGAAAGCGUGGGGAUCAAACAGGAUUAGAUACCCUGGUAGUCCACGCCGUAAACGAUGAGUGCUAAGUGUUAGGGGGUUUCCGCCCCUUAGUGCUGCAGCUAACGCAUUAAGCACUCCGCCUGGGGAGUACGACCGCAAGGUUGAAACUCAAAGGAAUUGACGGGGACCCGCACAAGCGGUGGAGCAUGUGGUUUAAUUCGAAGCAACGCGAAGAACCUUACCAAAUCUUGACAUCCUUUGACAACUCUAGAGAUAGAGCCUUCCCCUUCGGGGGACAAAGUGACAGGUGGUGCAUGGUUGUCGCCAGCUCGUGUCGUGAGAUGUUGGGUUAAGUCCCGCAACGAGCGCAACCCUUAAGCUUAGUUGCCAUCAUUAAGUUGGGCACUCUAAGUUGACUGCCGGUGACAAACCGGAGGAAGGUGGGGAUGACGUCAAAUCAUCAUGCCCCUUAUGAUUUGGGCUACACACGUGCUACAAUGGACAAUACAAAGGGCAGCGAAACCGCGAGGUCAAGCAAAUCCCAUAAAGUUGUUCUCAGUUCGGAUUGUAGUCUGCAACUCGACUACAUGAAGCUGGAAUCGCUAGCAAUCGUAGAUCAGCAUGCUACGGUGAAUACGUUCCCGGGUCU